rnacentral:lncRNA from 1 species
ACUGUUUCAGACUGAGAGAAGAUCAUGGGCAAAGGCAGGGACCAGUGAAGGCAAGGACUUCAGUUUUGGGGGAGUGUUUUUCACAAGUACAGUCACUAUGAGAGAUAAGACUGGAAAGACGUGUUGGAGCCAGAGGGACAAUUGUCAAACACUGGUAUGUGGCCAAGGAUGCCUUCAAGUUAUGAUGCCUUUAAGUUGAAAAAUGGGAAGAUCCCUUAAUGGAAAAUAGGGUAUACCAGAAGUAAUAAAGCAUUGUGUUAAAAUUGGCUUCCAGAUUGGACAAAUCCUUUAUUUAAAUCCUAAUUCCAGUGCUUAUUGGUCUAUGAAACCUUUCUUGAAAUAUUAUAAGCAGUAGAAACAGUGAGCUAUGUAACUGUAUCUCACUAAACCCAAAUAAAAAUACAUUUCUAACCCAGCUUUCCAUUAUCCAUAUCCUCAAUAUGCCAAACACCUACCUGAUGCUAACAUCUUAACCCCUGCCAACAGUCCAUCUGGGCUAGUCAAAGUUUAUUUGUUCAUUUGGGCCAGUCAAGGAUCUUUCUUGAGAUUUUUUUUCAAACUGCAAUUGAGGGAAGAAAGAUUUUUCCUUUUUGUUCAUGGAAUUUCAAGUACAUAAGCCCGGCAGCUACAGUGGAGGCCUGUCUUCCACCAUGUAGGGAAAGUGGGCCUGAAGAAAGGAGAAUGAAGCUGACAGAGGAACUGAGAGGCAGAGCUCUUGAGAUCAGUGAGCUACCAUGGGCUUCCCUGCCUUUGAUGAGCGAGUCUCUGGCUCUUGGAUUUUCCAGUGGACAAUCAGAAGGAAGCAGAGAAGUGGGUAAGACAGCAAAGAGUCUAAAGGGAGAAGGAUCAAGUUGUAUCUCAAAGAUUUCUAAAAAGAGGAGAGCGAGAAUCUGGUACGGGAAGAUCAGGACCAUCACUAGCCUAUACAAAGCCCUUAAGUAGAUUGAAAAAGAUGCCCCUCUAGGUCAAUAAAGUUCACCUGCCUGGUGUCCAGAAUUUUGUUUGAAACUAUAGAGACUCUUGCUUUAGCAGGUAGAAUCCUAUCAGUGCCUACCAUCUGAUGUAGAGUGCAGGCUAGAUUCUGCUCCCAUUUCCCCAUUGUGCAAUUCACAGGACUAUUCAAAGACACUCUGGUAAGGACAGUGUAUGGGAGAAGAAAAGGUACUUUUAUAAAAAGAUGUAAGCAGAC